rnacentral:snRNA from 1 species
UCAGCUCUCUUUGCUAAUCUGGCUUAGAUCAUCUGGUUUAGAUCAAGCGUAGUAUCUGUUCUUUUCAGUUUAAUUUCUGAAACUGGUCUAUGGACCCCUUCGUGAUUAUUCUAAUUUUUGCCACUUGAGGGCAUAUCCUCUGUGCUCGCACAUGAUGGCCUUCACCUUGUCUCUAGAAUUACACUGCCUCUAGGCAACGCGAAACAAGG